UCUGUGGUUUGUGGUUGGGAAUAAAAGAGGGAGAGAUGUUGUUCCUCCCCUGGCUUAUGCUCUGGGGCCUCAUCCAUCUUACCAAAGCUGGCCCAGUUUCUUCAGUUUUGUACAAUUUUUUAGCAAGAAAGGAAGAAUCCCUUAUUCCUUCAGCUAACAAGACUGUGCUUGGAAGAGGCAUGCAUCUCAAAGAAGGCGAUUUCAACAUCGCAACCAUCCUCUCCACUACGUUUUUGAAUGUUCCCCAUCAGAUCCAUAGCCAGUCUAACCGUAUCAAGGACUUCCUAAUGUGUGUGCUGGAAGACCGUAUAUUUACAC